ACCACCGUGUGUAAGGGACCUCAGCGAGCGUGGCUGUGGGGUUCCUUCAACAAUGUGGCUCCUGAGUGACUAAAGGCUGUGCCCGGCAGAGGAACGUUCAUUUUGAAAUUUUUCAUUGACUGUUUUCAGACUGUGGAUGACCACAGGAACUGAAAUCACAGAAAGUUUGUAAAAUCACACAUUUUCAGCUAAAUGAAACCCCAGCAAGAAGAGGGAAGCAAGGCCACGAAAGUGCGAAUGAGAAGCCAGAGCUCUGCCUUGUGGAGAGGAAGGCUCCUCCUGCAGAGCAAAAUUCCUUUCAAAGGCUAAGACCACACAGCAUCUCCAGGCAUACAGAAAGCACCAGCGCUGUGAGACAAAGACGGGGGCUAUGUGGACGCUUUGAAUUAAAGACUAAGAUGGUGAAAAAUAGUUGUUGCACAAGGAGAACUGAAGGGAUUACGAUUGAAUUUGCAUAAAAGCAAAGACACAGAAAACACUGCAGAGUCUCCAAAGGUCUACCUAACCUCGCAAGCACCAUGGAGCUGCCCUUGGACCAUGCACCAAGCAGACUCAGUGCAUGUGUUUGUGACAGCACUGCUAACAAAACCAACACCCAAAAAGAUA